UGGACAGAUUAUUAUAUUCAACUGUAGUCACGGCGUGAAAUAGGGGAUUACACUGUUUUUAAAACGGAAAGUGAAUCAAUUAACAUAAUAGACUCCU
rnacentral:pre_miRNA from 1 species